rnacentral:rRNA from 1 species
CCAUACGGGUUGAAGCAUGACCGUAAGGACAUGUGGACAGUAUGGGAGUGAGAAUGUUGGCAUGAGUAGCGAGAUGUGGGUGAGAAUCCCACAGGCCGUAAACCCAAGGUUUCCAGGGGAAGGUUCGUCCGCCCUGGGUUAGUCGGGACCUAAGCUGAGGCCGAAAGGCGUAGGUGAUGGACAACAGGUUGAUAUUCCUGUACUACCGAUAACC